UAGGGAAUAUUGGACAAUGGGCGAGAGCCUGAUCCAGCCAUGCCGCGUGCAGGAAGAAGGCCUUCUGGGUUGUAAACUGCUUUUGCCAGGGGAUAAAAAGUCCCUGCGGGGAAAAUUGAAGGUACCUGGUGAAUAAGCCACGGCUAACUACGUGCCAGCAGCCGCGGUAAUACGUAGGUGGCAAGCGUUGUCCGGAUUUAUUGGGUUUAAAGGGUGCGUAGGCGGCCCUGUAAGUCAGUGGUGAAAUACGGCAGCUCAACUGUCGAGGUGCCAUUGAUACUGCAGGGCUUGAGUACAGACGAGGUAGGCGGAAUUGACGGUGUAGCGGUGAAAUGCUUAGAUAUCGUCAAGAACACCGAUAGCGAAGGCAGCUUACUAGACUGUAACUGACGCUGAGGCACGAAAGUGCGGGGAUCAAACAGGAUUAGAUACCCUGGUAGUCCGCACAGUAAACGAUGAUCACUCGAUGUUGGCGAUACACAGCCAGCGUCUUAGCGAAAGCGAUAAGUGAUCCACCUGGGGAGUACGCCCGCAAGGGUG
rnacentral:rRNA from 1 species